rnacentral:rRNA from 1 species
UACGAAGGGGGCUAGCGUUGUUCGGAAUUACUGGGCGUAAAGCGUGCGCAGGCGGUUUCUUAAGUCAGAUGUGAAAGCCCCGGGCUUAACCUGGGAACUGCGUUUGAAACUGGGAGACUUGAGUGUGGCAGAGGGGGGUGGAAUUCCACGUGUAGCAGUGAAAUGCGUAGAUAUGUGGAGGAACACCGAUGGCGAAGGCAGCCCCCUGGGUUAACACUGACGCUCAUGCACGAAAGCGUGGGGAGCAAACAGG